AGGCUACCGCUAUUGGAGUUCGGUUAAGCCAUGCGAGUCGCGAGUCUUAGGGACUCGGCGUACCGCUCAGUAACACGUGGGUAACCUGCCCUAUGCUGGGGGAUAACCUCGGGAAACUGAGAAUAAUACCCCAUAGUUCACCACGCCUGGAGCGGUGGGUGGAUGAAAGCUCCGGCGGCAUAGGAUGGGCCUGUGGCGUAUCAGGUUGUAGGGGGUGUAAUGUACCCUCUAGCCAUCUACGCGUACGGGUGUUGGGAGACAUCGCCCGGAGAUGGAUUCUGAGACACGAAUCCAGACCCUACGGGGUGCAGCAGGCGCGAAAACUUGGCAAUGCGAGAAAUCGUGACCAGGGAACUCCAAGUGCAUCGGGUAAGACCGAUGCUUUUCUUGACUCUUCAAAGGUCUUGGAAUAAGGGGUGGGUAAGGACGGUGCCAGCCGCCGCGGUAAUACCGGCGCCUCAAGUGGUAGUCGCUUUUAUUGGGCCUAAAACGUCCGUAGCCGGUUUGGUACAUUCGUGGGUAAAUCAAGGCGCUCAACGUCUUGAAUUCUGCGAGCACGGCCAGACUUGGGACCGGGUGAGGUGUGGGGUACUCUCAGGGUAGGGGUAAAAUCCUGUCAUCCUGAGAGGACCACCUGUUGCGAAGGCGCCACACUAGAACGGAUCCGACGGUCAGGGACGAAGCCUAGGGGCACGAACCGGAUUAGAUACCCGGGUAGUCCUAGGUGUAAACGCUGUGGACUUGAUGUUGGGAGUGCUCCGAGCACCCUCAGUGUCGAAGCGAAGGUGAUAAGUCCACUGCCUGGGGAGUACGGUCGCAAGGCUGAAACUUAAAGGAAUUGGCGGGGGAGCACUGCAACCUGAGGAUUGUGCGGUUU
rnacentral:rRNA from 1 species